rnacentral:sRNA from 1 species
UGACCAUUUCUUGAUCGGUUUAACCCGGGAAAAGAAAUUGAAUGCCAUACGGACAGCUAGGUCAAAUGCCGA